AAGCCCGGAUGACUGCUGUUACGCCUCAUUUUACGAGCCUCGAUACCGAAGUGUCAUCUCACCACCGAGGCCAAGAUCAAAUAGACCACUCCGACCUUCCCGAAGCUUCUCCGAAGUGAUACAUCGAUUCCUACUAUUGAUCUGCCCAAGUAUCCCACCUCCCAGGUCGGGUUCAGGUGGACCCCGGUUAGAAGAUCCGCCGCCAAUUUAAGAUUUGUUCUGCAUAUAAGGUUUAAAUUGAUUUGACAUCCCCAUGAGGCUAUUUGAUGUGACUUAUCAACUUUAUGUCAAUUCAACUCGGAGGAAACAAACUGUCCGCCCACUCUACAAGCGCGGCUGAUUGACGCCUAUGAGCAGACGCUUCAUACCGUCAAAUGUAUACACGUAUUCCACAUCCCACGGUUCAUACCACCUAUAAAUACCCAAAGUUUGGCAAGAGGCAAAGGUAAUGAAACUCUCAAUACAUAGCAUUCCAUAACAAGUUUAUAUAUUCUCCUCCCCCUUUAUUGAUUGAUUUGUGUAGCCCUAGGGCACUGCUCCGACCACCCAAACCUGACUUGACCGUCGGAGUGUAUACGGCCGCCACCCCCGUCGGUUCCGGCCGUAUGCGCCUGACCAUUUGUUCAUUUCGCAGGGAGGAAUACGUGAAGUAGCUACAAGUUGGCCACGUGGAGGAGCCAUUUUUGGAGGUCAACAGUUUGGCACCGUCUGUGGGAAGCUCAUUCCCCAUUUGAAGUUUUACGUUCCCCAUCGGAGAAGACACCGGAAAACCGACGACUGACCCUGAAAAGGGGGCAUUCUUGAAAAAGAACAAAAGUCGAAUUACAAUCCAAGUUCUUACUACCCUUGAAAGAAGAGGUAGGAUGAGCUACAGCCGUGAAGACAAACCCAUCAGAGAGGCCUCUGAAGAAGAGGUACUCCAUAACAAUGUUGCUCAUCAGAGACCGCAUCACCGGCGUCGACGAGGCGAAAGAACAGCCAUGCUCACUGAAGGAAUGGCCCAGAUAGCUGCGGGCAUGAGAGACAUAGCAGCUCAGAAUAUGGCGAUGCGGGAACUUCUCAUGCAAGCCCAGGGACACCAGAUGCCCCAAGGAUCUUAUCCGGUACAGGAAAUCCCUUUGUCGCAUUCUCGAGGCCACAUGAGCCGGCACACAGAACGACCUCUCGAAAGAGAGGGGAACACCGAAGCGACAUCUUAUGUGCAGGAAAGUCACCCAUCGGAACCACUCUUGGGGGACAACUUACUCAAGAACACAAUGACCAGAGGUCAGUAAGCGUCUUCGACCGGAUAGGGAACGAUCCUAGCAGUAGGGUCCGCCCUUCAAAAGGGCCGGUCCGGUCAGACCACGAAGAAGAUUAUGUUCCUCCUCCUCCUAGAAAUAGGAGGGAGAGGAGAAACUUAGUCGAUUGGGGGAGCCGGGGGAAAGCACCUCCUUUACCCCAAGACAUCCAAGAUGAUCAAGGAUUUGAGGGGCCCUGUCGAUCUUAUGAGAUUGACGACAAUGACGAUAACCUCCCUUUCUCAAGGGAAAUCCGAAGCUUCCCAAUGCCAACUAAUUUCAUGCCCCCUAAGAUCCCCAAGUAUGAGGGAAAAGGGGAUCCGGAGAAGCACCUCACAAAGUAUAUGACACAAAUGAGUCUUAGGGGAGCCUCACCUGCUCUAAAGUGCAGAGCCUUCCAUUUAACACUAGGCGGAGCCGCCGAGGUGUGGUACAGCAGGCUUCCUCCCCUAAGCAUCAGAAGUUGGCCGGAGUUGAAGAAAGCAUUUUUGAACCAGUACCUCUCACGCAGGGAAGCAGAGGCGCCAAUCCAACGCCUGCAAGACAUGAGGCAGGCCCCUGGAGAGGCGCUGAAAAGCUAUCUCGCCAGGUUUACAGAUGAGAUUACUUACUGCGAACAGGUCACUGAUAGGGAAGCCCUUUCAGCCCUGAAAGGUGGUCUCAACAUGAACACUUUGUUUUGGAGGGACGUGCGCAACAAGAAUCCCUCCACAUACGACGAGCUGGUGGAGAUGAUGAGGGUGGGAAUUGUUAGUGAAGAAAUGAUUGAUCAUCGUAACCGUGUCUCGCAGGGACUCCCUCCCCCACAAAAGCAGGUAGGUCGAGGCCCUGCAGCGCACCUUGUUACUUAGCAAUGGACCCAAGCAGGGCAUACCAUAGCUCCCACAUCCGGACAGGCCUUAGCUUCCACCAUAUUGAACGCAGUGCCGGUGUUGGCUUAUGAUAACGCACCCGCUGAGGCAGGACCAUCUGGAAGAACUGACAACAACAAGAAGAAGAAAAAGAGGCCAAACAGGCCUUUGCCAGGAGCAAGAUUUUGUACUUUCCAUCAACUAUACGGGCAUGACACCAGCGAGUGUCGGGAUGCCAACCGGCGCCCUGAUCGAAGCAACCCCCACACUUCCAGCAGAAAUGAGCACCCCCGCAGAUCCACCUCCCCGAGGAGGGAAGGAAGGGGUCACCAAGAACAGUCUCCUCGCAGAAGAGAAUCAAAUCUACACUGUCUGGGAUCCUAUAUUCUGUCCUAAGUCUACUCAGGUCAGCCUCCCUCAAUUUUAAUGGGUAGUCCGAUGCCCCCAAAUGCACAGAAGUAUUCGGGGGGCUAUCUGGUCGCUUCCAUAUGUUCUCCCCCCCAUUAUUGCCCCAGCUAUUUCUGAGGAGGUCGCCACAAUGGGCUCGUCCACCCUCACUAUUUCUAAGCCCCUCCCCAAACCAGAACUCCCUUCCGAGGCCAUUCGAUAAGAAACUUUUUACAGUCCAAAUGGGUACUGAAACUUACGAGUUUGGAAGUUUUUCCUAGCCGGAAAUGGUGCAGGAUUGCCGGAUGUAUCGUUCUCUCUCGUCGGAGUUGCUUGCAAAACGCCGAAAAUCGCCGAAAAUUUGGGAACAAAUUUUGGUUUUCUUCUGGUAAAGAUAGAAACUCUGAUAAACCCACAAAGUUCGCCUUUUAUAGGAAAGACAAGUCCAAUCUCCACCGUUGAAUUCAAAUGCGAUCAAUCUAAAUCGUUCGUCGCAUCCUCAAUCCCGGUCGUUGAAAUAAAACGCCAGAUUUGAUCUACGCCCAAGAUGUCGCUGUGGCUUUCACACUAAAUUGAAACGCGUCGCCUCGGUUACAAAUAGCCGUCAAUAAUAAUUACUAGCCGCAGCAGCCUUUUAGGAGAAUGGGCAUGGUAUCCAACUGUCACCUUGGAAACACGCAACAGUUGUCAAAUCAUUGGACUUUUGGGCCGCCUCGGAUGAUCUCCUCCCCCAACUUUACAAAGCUUGGACGCACCUGACGCGAACGCCCCAUUGGCUCAUCGCCUCGGUCGCUGUGUUUCCUCCCAUGCUUUACAAAGUUUCAGUCAUCUCCCCACGCGUCGACCUUUUCCUGCCAACGCGUCGGUACGAGACGAGUCCCUAAAAUUUUACGAAGCUUGGACGCACUUGACGCGAACGCCCCACUGGCUCAUCGCCUCGGUCGCUGCGUUUCCUCCCAUGCUUUACAAAGUUUCAGUCAUCUCCCCACGCGUCGACCUUUUCCUGCCAACGCGUCGGUACGAGACGAGUCCCUAAAAUUUUAUGAAGCUUGGACGCACCUGACGCGAACGCCCCACUGGCUCAUCGCCUCGGUCGCUGCGUUUCCUCCCAUGCUUUACAAAGUUUCAGCCAUCUCCCCACGCGUUGACCUUUUCCUGCCAACGCAUCGGUGCGAGACGAGUCCCUAAAAUUUUAUGAAACUCGGACGCACCUGACGAGAACGCCCCAUUGGCUCAUCGCCUCGGCGCUGCGUUUCCUCCCAUGCUUUACAAAGUUUCAGCUACCCCCACGCCGCGGUCCGGUCAGGAAAACAAAUCCACGUAUAAUAUAAAUAUUCACUGUCACGCCUCAUUUUACGAGCUUCGAUACCGAAGUGUCAUCUCACCACCGAGGCGAAGAUCAAAUAGACCACUCCGACCUUCCCGAAGCUUCUCCGAAGUGAUACAUCGAUUCCUACUAUUGAUCUGCCCAAGUAUCCCACCUCCCAGGUCGGGUUCAGGUGGACCCCGGUUAGAAGAUCCUCCGCCAAUUUAAGAUUUGUUCUGCAUAUAAGGUUUAAAUUGAUUUAACAUCCCCAUGAGGCUAUUUGAUGUGACUUAUCAACUUUAUGUCAAUUCAACUCGGGGGAAACAAACUGUCCGCCCACUCUACAAGCGCGGCUGAUUGACGCCGAUGAGCAGACGCUUCAUACCGUCAGAUGUAUACACGUGUUCCACAUCCCACGGUUCAUACCACCUAUAAAUACCCAAAGUUUGGCAAGAGACAAAGGUAAUGAAACUCUCAAUACAUAGCAUUCCAUUACAAGUUUAUAUAUUCUCCUCCCCCUUUAUUGAUUGAUUUGUAUAGCCCCAGGGCACUGCUCCGACCACCCAAACUUGACUUGACCGUCUAAGUGUAUACGGCCGCCACCUCCAUCGGUUCCGGCCGUGUGCGCCUGACCAUUUGUUCAUUUCGUAGGGAGGAAUACGUGGAGUAGCUACAAAUUGGGCACGUGGAGGAGCCAUUUUUGGAGGUCAACAACUGCAUUAAAGAAAAGGGAGAGGAAGGACAAGAGAAAGGCAGGAGAUUCUGAUAAGAAAGAGGAUUCAAAAAUCCAUUCUGCAGCUUCUAAGAUCACAAGUUAAACUAGAUUCCCUUGGGAAGUUCUUAUAGUUCUGUUUUCUUUGAAAUAGCCGUAAGGUUGUAUGGUCUUUUAUAUUCUUUCAUAUAUUCUAAAAUUGUUUUAGAACUUCGAGUUGUCUGAAAAGAAUUUUUUUACAUUAGAUGUUGAAUAUUUGGUAAGAUACAGAAGUCCAUUUUCUUUCCAAAUAUUUCGGUGAAAUUUUUAUUUUUGUAUUCGUAUCAUAUAUCUAAAUGUUG
rnacentral:lncRNA from 1 species